rfam:Gossypium raimondii Chr13_contig_107, whole genome shotgun sequence.
CACGUCAACGCGCUUUGCUGAUGUGGCAAGAAAUCACAUCCACGAGGGGGCGAUUUGUUGCCACGUCAGCAAAGCGCGCUGACGUGG